GAUAAAGUGUUCCAGAUCAUAGGACUGAAAUUUUCAGGUGAUAAUUUCUACAGAUUUUUGCAUGAUUUGGAGUUAGCUAGAUUCUUCUUGUGGUAGGGGAAAUUUGAGGUUUUUGAAAUGUUCUGGUCAGGCAGAAAUAACUUUAGGUUAGUUUUUUAAAACAAAAACGGGAUUGUGUUUCUAAUGAAAAUUUUUGAUAUUUAAUACAACUGCAUAUAAGUUUGAAUCUCAACAUGACAACCAGCAAAUCAACUUAAAAUCAAAAGUACAGCCAACACUGAAGUUAAAGUAUUAUGUACAAGUUCAGAUAAGAAUGGUACACAAUCUUCAGAUGUGAAGUAUAACACUUAACCUCUUCGUAACAGUACCUAUAGCUCAGAAAUUCUAAAUUCAGUUUCUAAAAUUAAAAUCUUAAAAAAAACCAAACACCUCUUAAAGGGCCACA
rnacentral:lncRNA from 1 species